UGGAGUGUUAUGGCCGCGGCAGGUGUUAAUUUUAUUCAUUUGUGCGUCGAAAUAAGCGCGUAAGGACAUUUUAAGACAAAGUGCGACACGCAGGAAUAUUUCCUUAAGAAGCUGAGCUGCUUAGAAUCCGUUUGGAAUCAAACUUAGGAGCAAAAGAUGAAGAAAAAAAGUCGCCGGCAUCCCCCUCGCGACGCGAGAGCGCAGCCCCUAUCAUCGGGCACAUCAACUCAGCGGCGGGACAGCCAAUAUUUCUUUCCUCUCACCAUCUCUGCCAAAUCUGCAGCCGCGGACUGAUUUUUGGAAAUUAAUUUCAGUGUGAUGAGGAGAGACUAUUUCUCAACCGAGAAAAUGCUGAAAAAAAUUCAUCGGAAUUUGCGUUAUGCCAUCUUGCAGUUAUUAAAGAUUUUGCAAAUCCUGUUCUGCAAGUGAACAAUGCCGACAAAUUAGGAAAGUUUGAUGAACUAUUGGACCGUACGUACGCGUGGAGCAGGAACGAAGGAAGAAAAUUUUAAGUUUGAUGUAAAAAUAAUUUCAAAGAUUGUGGGUAUUAUAUUACUAUUAAAAAAUAAAUUUUAAAAAGUAAACAUUGGUAUUAUUUAGUAACUAAAUAUGCAAAUCCUAAAAUCUGAGUGGCAUGCAGGCCA